UAGACAAAGCAGCCCAGUUAGAGGGAAAGGGAUCCAAAGAUAGACGACGUAGUCAGAGACAGCUGCUCCUCCCCCUUCAGGAGUCCCACACGAAGAACCAGCUUCACAACUGUUACAUAUGGGUAGAAGGCCUGGGUCCAUUCCACGCAUGCUCCCUGGUUGGCAGUCCAGUCCCUAUGGGCUCAGGUCCCAGAGGACUACAAGACAUAUCUUAAAAGAUGCCAAAGCUCUGAUAAGUCACCUGUCUUCCUGUUCGGAGAUGCCUUGGGACUCCUCCAAACUGGAUGCUAACCAUUGUACAUUCUGCUAAGAGGAGAGUCAACAAAAAAGGAAAUGCCCUCUGUGCUCGCAAGGAGAGCCUCAGUCAGUCUACAAGAAGAGACCAAAACCACAUCAAACACCCUCACCCUGUUGAUGGACAGCUUUGGGAUUAAAUCUCUGCAUCUUGCAGUACAGGGUGGAUUAUAUCCUUUAGACUCUCGAUAGUGACCAGAUUAAUCUUUGGACCUUGUGUUUUUGGCUUCUCUGUUACAAUCUCACCGGUGGGACUAUUAAUCUUUGGACUUUGUGUACUCAGCUGGUUUUUAAUUUUAUUUACUCUUGCUGACAGCCAAUCCACAUUUAGCUGAUCGUGUGGCAAUCUAACUCUGCCCAUCUGGGUCCCCUAGGUUGUCCUUUAAUGCCCGGAAGUCAGCGACAGUGGACACCCUAAAUCCUUAUGUGUCCCAGUUUCAGCAAGAAGUUUCCAGAUUGACUUAAGGUCCAUCUGCUGAGUGGUUUUAGGGUCUCAACUCUUUAGGGGAAAUGUUACAUAGGAAGAUGGAUAUUGGUACGCAUGGGUGGGGGCUUCUCUGACAUUUGGACUGUUUCAGAGUCUGAAGCUCCUCUGCCUUCUGUCUGCUCUGUGGCUGCUCGCUGACCUUCAUUACUGAAACUGCCUGUGUCUUAAUUUAAAAAAGCAUGGUUUCCUA